GAGUUUGAUCGUGGCUCAGGACGAACGCUGGCGGCGUGCCUAAUACAUGCAAGUCGAGCGAAUCACCGGGAGCUUGCUCUCGGCGAUUAGCGGCGGACGGGUGAGUAACGCGUGGGCAACCUGCCUGUAAGACUGGGAUAACUUCGGGAAACCGGAGCUAAUACCGGAUCAAUCUUUUCCUCGCAUGAGGAAAAGCUAAAAGACGGUUUCGGCUGUCACUUACAGAUGGGCCCGCGGCGCAUUAGCUAGUUGGUGAGGUAACGGCUCACCAAGGCGACGAUGCGUAGCCGACCUGAGAGGGUGAUCGGCCACACUGGGACUGAGACACGGCCCAGACUCCUACGGGAGGCAGCAGUAGGGAAUCUUCCGCAAUGGACGAAAGUCUGACGGAGCAACGCCGCGUGAGUGAUGAAGGCC
rnacentral:rRNA from 1 species